UUAAGGAAGUCGUUUGCCAGGAUGCAACAAGAGGCUGAUGGAGAGUUUGUUCAAAUUGGAUUUUUUUUUCUCCUGCUUAACAAGAAAAAUAAUAAGAGGAGCUCUGCUUUGUUGUCACCCUCACUCCAAUUGCUGAACACCAAACACUGACUGAAUGCUGAUGGUGUGCCAGGUGCUGUGGCUAGUCGCUUUUGGGAAUUUCCUCCUUCACCCCACGUGAUAACCUUGUAAGGAAAGCUGAUCACGAAAGUGGAGACAGCAGAAGAGGAUCGUGUUGGACUUCAGUUUCCUUCCAUGUGAAUGUUCUCUCUGUGUGUUCUAAUACCCUUGGGUAAGUCCUUGCUGACUGUGCCCAUGGGUCUUGUGCUUCCUGUCCUCCUGCCUCAGUUUCCCAUGGACCGUUUACAGAAUGUAUGGAGGAUCCAGGACAGCCGAUGUGUAGGUCGUGAACCCAGGCAGACAUGAACAUGCUGCUGUCAGUCAUUCUGUAUGUUCCUUCCUUAUGUCAGUGCAACUGGAUCUA